GUGCUCACUUCACCAGCACAUAUACUAAAAUUGGAAUGAUCCAGAGAAGAUUAGCAUGGCCCCUGUGCAAAGAUGACACAGAAAUUUGUGAAGCAUUCCUUAUUUUU
ensembl:snRNA U6 U6 spliceosomal RNA